UAUUCCGCAGGAGCACGCGCUGUGAUUGUCAUGUACUCCUUUAGCUGAACCCUAAAUUUUGUAAUAACUGCGCUUAAAUAUGUCUCUUMAGCUACUUGCAUUCAUUUUGGGUAUUAAAACUGAUGUAACGUGAAUUCAAGCUUGAACAAAUUACAUGUAGGCACUUUGUAUAUGAGCACGAGCAGCUCACGUGGCAGCAGCGUGGGCAGGCCSUGAAACACGAAGGAGCUGAGCCACAGAUUACCAGAAUAACAUGGUUGGGGCUCAUCAAAUAGAAGGUGACUAACCAUGAACCGAAGCAAGUUUCCACUGUUGCACAUAACUAUGCAUAUUCAUAAUAAAACAUUUUCAUUUA